ensembl:lncRNA
CCUCCAGUUACUGCAGAUUGUGUAGAUUCCAAAUAAAUCCCUUCUUCUCCUGCUCAUUUCUCCCACUGAAUAGAACUCUUCAGAAUGUCUGGGUUGGGGUUGGUUGAUUAUUUGCUUGUAAUUUUUUUGUUUGUUUGUUUUUCCAUUUCUUUCAGAAAAACAGUUGUUUGGUUUUUAGAAUUUCCUCUGGGGAAUGAUCUUCUCUCAUGCUUUUUUUUUUUUAUCUUCAGCUUCUUUAUUCUAGACCAUACAGGUGAUAUCAACGCCAAUCUCAGAGUUAAAGGUGUUAUUUUCUGCCAACUUUUAUAAAAGCGUGUGUUGAUGCAGGGUAGAUUUCUCUCCAUUUUUGUUUUCCAUCUCACUUCAAAAGCAAGAUGAUGCAAGUGCUUUAAAGGGCCCAUUUGGUGUUAUGAAAUCCUUUCAGUUCCAAAGCAGUUUCGGCAGCUUCAGUGAUAUCAUGCACAACAAGCUGAGGUCCUACCACUUCAGAAGAAGUCUAAACUAUACAUCCUAUUGCACUUUAAUUCCCACAGCCAGACAUUUCAAGCCGUUGUAAUGGUUAACAUGCUAGAUGUAAACAGAGAGUUCAUGCUUGUUAUGGCCAUCAAGAUUCCCUCUGGAAUACAGUAUGAUUGCCAGCACGGUGGUAUGAUUGCCAUCUUUAGACAUAUGGUUUGGAAUCUCCUAUGUCUGAUGUACUGGCAAGUUAGCUACUAAUUGGUGAGUGAUUUUUUCCAUGUAGUGAGUUAUGAUAAGUUCUGUUCCCUCCAAGUAUGAACACCAGCGCCUAGAUAGUAUAUUUCUGUUGCUGUCUUCGUGUGUGCCUCCACCUGUCACUCUGCCAGGGUUUUCAAGCUCACGUUUCACAAGGUUUUUAUUCGACUGCAUCAGUUCUGUAAUGUACUAAUAGACAUGAGUAUUUUCUUCCCACCAACAAACUUCUGAGAGUGCUGAUUUCUGUAGCUCUCAUCACAGAAGCUGCUGUAUGCACAAUGAGACGGCAGCACUCCUUACUGAGUAGCCACUUUUGCAGAAAGCCUAAAUCUGUUUCCUCAAUCUAUGGUUUUUUUUUAGACUGAUUCUCAGCUACCUAUGUUUUUAUCCAUGCUUAGGUCUGGGACUUAACUGUGUUAAGUCAGAGCACACUGACAGGGUAGAUCUGCUUUCUUACUACAUUAAUCUGCAUCCUGUGCUUAUAUCGUGCUAAUAUUGCAAUUGCGUCAAGGAAACUUGGUUUACAUAUGCAUGAAAUGCAGCCCGGUGAUGAAGGUGGUGAGAGUCCCUCUCUAUUUUGCACUUGUGAGGCACCCAUCUGGUGAACUGCAUCUAGGCCUGGGGCCCCCAACAGAAGGAACGAUGCGGAGCUUUUGGAGAGGCUCCAGAGGAAGGCCAUGAACAUCAGAGGGCUGGAGCACCUCUCCGGUGAAGACAGGCUGAGGGAGCUGGACUUGUUCAAGAAGGCUGUGGGGAGACCUUAUUGUGGCCUUGCGAUAUUUAAAAGGGAGAUUAUAAACAGGAAGGAAAUCAACUUUUUACAUGGGUAGAUAGUGACUGGACAAGGGAGAAUGGUUUUAAACUAAAGAAGGAAAGAUUUAGAUUAGAUGUCAGGGGGAAGUUUUUUUUUACAGAGAGGGUGGUGCUUGCACAGGCUGCCCAGAGAGGCUGUAGAUGCCUCAUCUAUGGUGUUCAAGGCCAGUUUGGAAGCAGCCCUGGUCAAUCUGAAUUAGUACAUAAUCUAGUAGUUGGCAACUUUGCCUGUGGUAGGGGGCAGUUGGAACCUGAUGAUUCUUGAGGUCCCUUCUAACCCAAGCCAUUCUAUGAUUCUGUGAUCCUAUGAUUUCUUUGUGGGUCUAGCCCAAGACUGCACAGAAGGUCUGCAGCAGUGGAUAACCAAACCCUUAAACACCAGUAAAGUGUCUAGAGGAAAACUGCAUUGUUCUGUGUAUGUUUUCAGCAAACCUUAUCUUGAUUUCACACAGAGACACCGGGUGAUACAUGGAAAUUAAUAAGAAACAUCAAGCUGAUUGUUUUAAGGACCAGACCAUGAAGAGGGCAAAAACAAACAAACAACAACAACAACAACAAAACACUAAAGUAAACUCUGAAUUCCUUUCAGCCAUGACAGUCUGAAAUGUGAGCUAGAAUCAGGGGUUGUUUAAAAUAUUAAUGCUAUCUAAUAUAGAGUGCCACAUUCUUCCCCCUAAGAUGCCAGGGAAUUGUACUGUACUGCCAGGGAACUGUGUAUUGAGAAAUAGUAAAUUACUCAAGAGAGGAAUUAGUCUUUGGAAACAACUCACUAGCUGUUGCCAUUGUUUAGUAUUUUCCUUGUCACAGGGUACAAAGUAAGUAUCUGUGGAACAUAGGAAAUAUCCUGCAGUAUUUCAGCAUUAAAAAUGUCAAUAUUUUGAAGUAUCUUGGCUUUUCUAAGAAAGCCUGACUGGAGGAUAAUUUUGUUUUAGCUGAAUUCUUUAUCACUGGUGAAGGAUGAGCUGCUAAAGAAAGGUGGGGGUUUUGCUGUUGUUGUUGUUUUUUUUCAGAUUUGUAGCCAAACAAAGCCAAACAAUCUUAUACAAUUCCAUUAACCAUAUUAUUAAGGAAGAAAAAAAAACACUCUUUUUUGAUAGCAUAUUUUGUUUUUAUUCCCUAUUCUUUCCUGUUUAAUUUUUUCUGCAGAUUGUACAAUUUAAUAUUUGUUGCUUGCAAAACCAAUGUUUUAUAAUGGUAUUGAAAAAAUACUUGCAUGAUAUUUUUUUAAUCAGAUUUAAUGAAUGAUUAAGACUAAACUGUAUGUCACAGGCAGCAGAGGGGCUGCUCCAGUUGUUUGCAUCCUAGUAGUCAUUUUAUGUGGAUCAUAUGUUUCAGUCACCAGACAGCAGAAUCAAGGUAGGAGUGUGUAAGUAGUUAAAAUGCUAGUUACUUGCUUUGAACAAAUUCAUUGGGCAUGCCCAGGCCAGAAUUUUCUUGCAUAGCUUUGUCUAGAGGACAGUAAACUGGUAGCUUUUAAAACAUCACACACAUUUAAAUCCUCAUGUAAACAAAUGGAACCAAGUUUUUGUACAAAACAACUGGGUUAGAUAAAUACUGUUCUGGAUGGAAGGUUUUCACUAUGCAUCCAGCAGUAUAAAAUUUUUCACAAUAUUGAAACUCCAUCCCUUUUGCUUAGUUUUCUGUUCUGUUACAAAUAAAUGUUCAUCAUGCAUUAGAAAGUUUGCUAAACGUUGUGCCCUUUUGUCAUAAACCUUGGCUCAAGUUUCUACGUAUGCUAGUAGAUUUAUAUUUGGAUAAUCUCGUCUGGCUAAACCUUAUGUUACUCUUUGUUUGAACACAAAGACUCCAGCCUUCAUAUUUACCAGAAUUAGUUUGAGGUUAAGCUCAGAGAUUCUUAGGGCCUGGCAGCCCCUUCGAAACAACGCUUAAAAAAAUAUAUAUAUAUACAUAUAUAUAUAAAAAAAUAUAUAUAUAUAUGUAUAUAUAUAUUUUUUUCCCCACAAUGUCUCAAGGAUAGAAAAUGUAAAGUUUUAACUCUUUUUACCAGAGAAGAAAUACAGAGAAAUGUGUUUGUAACCAGAGUCUUGGAUCCAACUAUCCCAAAACUUGGAGAAAAUUUGAUUUAUUAAAAAGUUGGUAUAUUGUUCCAAACCAAAAUCUGACUACUAAUAGUUGUUUUUGGCAAAAGUUAUGUCAAGAAAUUUAGGUGUUUGUUUGUUUGUUUGUUUUUACUUAAAACACUUCACAGGUAUGUUUUGAUUUCAAGGAAAUUUGAAAGAAGAAAGUGAAAACAGUUUUUUCCAGUAAUGUAAUAAUGAGAUAUUUGCUUUUAGAUUUGUUUCAAAGUAUUUAUAUUUCAUUAUUUCAUGAUACAUCUACAACUUUUAUACUGUAAGAGUCACAGUGAUAUAUUCUGACAUUAUCAAAAUACUUGGGCUUAGGUAAAAUUUUGAUCUUAUCACUGCUAAGUAAAAU